GAAUAUUGGACAAUGGGCGCAUGCCUGAUCCAGCCAUACCGCGUGGGUGAAGAAGGCCUUCGGGUUGUAAAGCCCUUUUGUUGGGAAAGAAAUCCAGCCGGCUAAUACCUGGUUGGGAUGACGGUACCCAAAGAAUAAGCACCGGCUACCUUCGGUCCCGCCGCCGCGGUAAUACGAAGGGUGCAAGCGUCACUCGGAAUUACUGGGCGUAAAGCGUGCGUAGGUGGUUGUUUAAGUCUGUUGUGAAAGCCCUGGGCUCAACCUGGGAACUGCAGUGGAAACUGGACAACUAGAGUGUGGUAGAGGGUAGCGGAAUUCCCGGUGUAGCAGUGAAAUGCGUAGAGAUCGGGAGGAACAUCCAUGGCGAAGGCAGCUACCUGGACCAACACUGACACUGAGGCACGAAAGCGUGGGGAGCAAACAGG
rnacentral:rRNA from 1 species